rnacentral:lncRNA from 1 species
AGAGGUCCGAACAAGGAGGAACAGAUACUGCAAGUUCCACAAGGACUACUGGCACAACAUAGAAAAUUGCAGGGAGCUAAGCACUUUCCUAGACACACAGGUAAAGGAAGGAAAGCUAAAGCAAUAUAUAAAUAAAGUAGAAAGGGGGCGACAAGGUUGCAAGGACCCGAAUAACAAGGGUAAGCGCCAACGCUCGAGAAGUCCCGACUCAGACAUUGACCACAAGAGAAGAGUAAUAAAUUUAAUCUUCGGCGGAGGAUCAGUAGGAGAAAGCAGAAGUUACUCACGAAAGGUAAUGCAGACUACCACUGUACCAAAAUCUAAGAAAAGAUCAUACCCAAGCGAGGGAAUAAGCUUCUCAGAGGAAGAUCUAGAUAAUGUGGUCAGCCCACACGAAGAUCCACUGGUAAUACAGGUGGACAUCGGGGAUGACUUAAGUCUGAGUAAAGUAAUGGUGGACAAUGG